CAACGUGGGUAACCUGCCCUGAUGAUUGGGACAACCCGAGGAAACUCGGGCUAAUACCGAAUGUGCCCUCCGGCCACAAGGCCACUGGGGAAAGGAAGCUUCGGCCUCCGCAUCGGGAUGGGCCCGCGGCCCAUUAGCUUGUUGGUGAGGUAACGGCUCACCAAGGCAAUGAUGGGUAGCUGGUCUGAGAGGACGAUCAGCCACACUGGGACUGAGACACGGCCCAG
rnacentral:rRNA from 1 species